CAGGGCGUGGCUAAGACAGUAAAGCAUCUCCCUUACACCGAGAAGGCAUCCGUGCAAAUCGGGUCACCCUGA
rnacentral:tRNA from 1 species